AUUGAACGCUGGCGGCAGGCCUAACACAUGCAAGUCGAGCGGAGCGGCGGACGGGUGAGUAAUGUAUGGGGAUCUGCCCGAUCGAGGGGGAUAACUACUGGAAACGGUGGCUAAUACCGCAUACUAUCAGAUGAGCCUAGGGUGGAUUAGCUAGUUGGUGGGGUAAAGGCUCACCAAGGCGACGAUCCGUAACUGGUCUGAGAGGAUGAUCAGUCACACUGGAACUGAGACACGGUCCAGACUCCUACGGGAGGCAGCAGUGGGGAAUAUUGGACAAUGGGCGAAAGCCUGAUACAGCCAUGCCGCGUGUGUGAAGAAGGUCUUCGGAUUGUAAAGCACUUUAAGUUGGGAGGCGUUACCGACAGAAUAAGCACCGGCUAACUCUGUGCCAGCAGCCGCGGUAAUUC
rnacentral:rRNA from 1 species